GAAAUGACUGACGGUGCUUACUGAGAAGUUAGUGAUGAAAUGCUAAAAGCUGGCUGCAGUUGUCCCUGCUCUCUUAUGAAGAUGGCGUUUUGAAUCCCAUCUCUAUCAUUCCUCUGAUAGAUGGAGGGACAGAGGGCUUUAAGGGGAAUACAAGAGUGAUCCUGCUGGGAAUGACAGCCUGUAUAGACUGCACACUGGAGCUUUACCCACCACAAAUGUUGUUGGUCUGGAUGGUGAAAACCCAGAGCAUGUUCAGUGGGUGUUCCAGGAGUCUAUAAAGAGAGCAGCUGAGUUUAAUAUCACUGGUGUCACUUACAGACUCACUCAAGGUGUGGUUAAACGAAUCAUCCCUGCUGUUGCAUCCACAAAUACAGUAAUCUCUGGACAACUAUUCAGCAUCUAGACGGGUUCCUCAAAAACUGCCAUUUCCACCAUCUGCUAAACUGCAAGAAGUCCUGGACUAACUGACUGAGAAUGCUUCUAUUCCCCAGCUAUCACUGCAACACUUGAAGGCAAAAAUAAAACACUGUACCUGGAGACCAUUGCCUAAAUUGAAGAAAGAACUAGACCCAAUCUUCACAAAACUUUGAAAGUUGAGAUCCUUUCCAGCCAUGAGAACCACAAAAGCACAACUGAAAUUGAAUUCCCAAAUGGUCAAAAGGUGGCAAGCAUUAUCAUUUUAUUCACCAUGUCCGUGUUUCACCAUGAUUUGUGUGUAUGUGUGUUGAAGAGCUGGGAUUGGCUGAUGGAUAGGAGUUAGCUGUUGCUGAUGUCACCACUCCUCAGACUGUCCUCUUCAGGCUCAACUACAUGUCAGAAACAUGCAGCAUUAAAUAUUCACAAAAUUAAUUUAAUGGCACAGGUUCCUCAAAUUCACCUUCAACAAGUUUAUUUGCAUGAUAUACCUGAAUAACUCCCUUCAUGUGUAGAGUCUGUAUGUGCUUUUUUCUUCAGACUGAAAUAUCAAGUAUAUUUUUCUGAUUAAUAUGUAACUUUAUGAGGACUGUUGUCAUUUUAUCAACCAGCAAUCCAGA